UACGGAGGGUGCAAGCGUUAAUCGGAAUUACUGGGCGUAAAGUGUGCGCAGGUGGCUGAGCAAGUCGAGUGUGAAAUCCCCGGGCUUAACUUGGGAAUUGCGCUCGAAACUACUUGGCUCGAGUGUGGCAGAGGAAGGUGGAAUUCCAGGUGUAGCGGUGAAAUGCGUAGAGAUCUGGAGGAACACCGAUGGCGAAGGCAGCCUUCUGGGCCAACACUGACGCUCAUGCACGAAAGCGUGGGGAGCAAACAGG
rnacentral:rRNA from 1 species